rnacentral:rRNA from 2 species
UUGGAGGGCAAGUCUGGUGCCAGCAGCCGCGGUAAUUCCAGCUCCAAUAGCGUAUAUUAAAGUUGUUGCAGUUAAAAAGCUCGUAGUUGAAUUUCGGGAUCAAUGUUUCGGUCAUGCCGUUGGUAUGUACUGAUACUAUUGAUUUCUCACCUUCUAAAGAACCGUAAUGCCAUUAAUUUGGUGUCACGGGGAAUUAGGACUGUUACCUUGAAAAAAUUAGAGUGUUUAAAGCAGGCUCACGCUUGAAUACAUUAGCAUGGAAUAAUGAAAUAGGACAUCCGAUUCUAUUUUGUUGGUUUCUAGGAUCGAUGUAAUGAUUAAUAGGGAUAGUUGGGGGCAUUAGUAUUCAAUUGUCAGAGGUGAAAUUCUUGGAUUUAUUGAAGACUAACUACUGCGAAAGCAUUUGCCAAGGAUGUUUUCAUUAAUCAAGAACGAAAGUUAGGGGAUCGAAGACGAUCAGAUACCGUCGUAGUCUUAACCAUAAACUAUGCCGACUAGGGAUCGGAUGAUGUUAAUUUUUUAAUGACUCAUUCGGCGCCUUACGGGAAAC